ACUCUUAAUCUCAGGGUCGUGGGU
rnacentral:piRNA from 9 species